AGAGUUUGAUCCUGGCUCAGAUUGAACGCUGGCGGCAUGCCUUACACAUGCAAGUCGAACGGCAGCACGGAGCUUGCUCUGGUGGCGAGUGGCGAACGGGUGAGUAAUAUAUCGGAACGUACCCUAGAGUGGGGGAUAACGUAGCGAAAGUUACGCUAAUACCGCAUACGAUCUAAGGAUGAAAGUGGGGGAUCGCAAGACCUCAUGCUCGUGGAGCGGCCGAUAUCUGAUUAGCUAGUUGGUAGGGUAAAAGCCUACCAAGGCAUCGAUCAGUAGCUGGUCUGAGAGGACGACCAGCCACACUGGAACUGAGACACGGUCCAGACUCCUACGGGAGGCAGCAGUGGGGAAUUUUGGACAAUGGGCGAAAGCCUGAUCCAGCAAUGCCGCGUGAGUGAAGAAGGCCUUCGGGUUGUAAAGCUCUUUUGUCAGGGAAGAAACGGUGAAAGCUAAUAUCUUUUGCUAAUGACGGUACCUGAAGAAUAAGCACCGGCUAACUACGUGCCAGCAGCCGCGGUAAUACGUAGGGUGCAAGCGUUAAUCGGAAUUACUGGGCGUAAAGCGUGCGCAGGCGGUUUUGUAAGUCUGAUGUGAAAUCCCCGGGCUCAACCUGGGAAUUGCAUUGGAGACUGCAAGGCUAGAAUCUGGCAGAGGGGGGUAGAAUUCCACGUGUAGCAGUGAAAUGCGUAGAUAUGUGGAGGAACACCGAUGGCGAAGGCAGCCCCCUGGGUCAAGAUUGACGCUCAUGCACGAAAGCGUGGGGAGCAAACAGGAUUAGAUA
rnacentral:rRNA from 1 species